CCUGUGCUCAAAAGUGGGACUUUUGGAAGGGAAUUGAAUUAUGGGUGCAGGACAGCUGAUUGCUAUUAGAAGGUGCUCAGAGGAGGCAGGCACUGUGGGCGUGGCCCAGAAGGGUGUAGCACUCUUUCUGCUUCCUGUCUGCCAUUGCCGUAAGCAGCUCUCCCCCACCAUGCCCUUCUGCCAUACCAUCCUGCCUCGGAGCCGGAGGACCAUGCAAGGACUGAAACUACUAAAAUGUGAGCCAAAAUACACCUUUCCUCUUUUAAGUUGUGGGUGUCAGGUAUUAUAUCUCAGCGAUGAGGAGGCGACUAAGAUGUGGCCCAUCAUUAUCUAGGUUGAUCUGAGAACAAACCGCAGCACCUGAAAGCACAUGGCCAGCUGAUGGAUGUUUGGCUCUGAUGGGCCAUUUUACAAGAUGCCUUAGGAAGGCAGGGAGUUUCAUCGCGAGUCCUUCAAACUGGUGCUGAGCCACAAACCAGCCAAGAUUGUAGAAUGUGUCACAUUCAGAAAGCAUCAAGCCAAUGCCAGCCCAGGCUGUGCUUCCAGAUGAGCAAGGCCCUCCUUCUGGGUUUGGAUACUGACUGAAGUUUUGCUUUCACGGUGACUGACACCUUCAUAAGGAUUCUAUCAGAUAAAAUUCCAGGUUUUUAAUUGCCAAAAGCCCAAGACCUCAUCUCCUCACACCUUGGCCCCCGACAGAGAAAUCCAAAGCAGAAGCUCUUUUUUUUAGAAAAAAAUUGAACUGACACAUAACAAUUGCAGGCAUUUGUGGUGUGAAUCACAGUGUGAUCGUUCAAUACAUAUGUACAGUGUGUAAAGAUCAGACCAGGUACCUGCUGCUCACCAAUCACCUUCACUUGAGCCAUCCCUGUUUCACUGCAGCAAUGGGAGACAGUUUCUUGGUAUAUUUUCUCAUCUGUGUGGACAGAGUGUAGGAUAUUCUGGGUCCCAACACCACCAGAGGCCCUGGCCCCAGCCAUAGUAGGCUGCAGAUGCAGGUAGGUUGUCUCUCAGAGGGACCCUCAACAAACAGGCAAUGUGAACUGGAAGAGAAAUUCUCGGGCCUGUGUAUUUCAGUUGGACAACUCUAGGGCUCCAUAUGUUGUUCACCACUGUAUUGGAAGAGAACUCCAGUGACCCAGUGCCUAGUAGGCAGAAAACGGCCCCCCAAAGAUGCCCAUGUCCUAACCCCAGAACCUGUGAAUAUGUUCUUUCCUGGCAAAGGAAAUCUUUCAAAUGUGAUUGAAUUCCAAACCUUGACUUGGGGAGCUUAUUCGGGGUUAUCAAUGUGGGCCCAGUCUACUCACAUGGGUCCUUCAAAACAGAGACUUUCUCUCAGAUGUGGACAGAAAGACCCAUGAUAACAGAAAAAGGGUCUGAUGGAUGUAAUAUUGUUGGCUUUGAAGAUGGAAGAAGGGACACAAGCCAAGGAAUGCAAGUAUCUUCUAGAAACUGGGAAAGAGAAAGAAAGGAUCCUUUCCCCUUUAGGAUCUUGAUUUCGGCUCAGUGAGACCUACCUUGGACUUCUGACCUACAGAACUGAAAGGUGCUAAUUUUGUCAAUGUUGUGUUAAGUUGCUACAUUUAUUUUCAUUUGUUACAGCAGCAAAUGAUUAAUUAAUAUGCUCAAGGGUACUGGUACUAAAUAUGCACUUACAUUGGCUUUUUCCCCUUCCCUAUCUCUCUCCACUCUCUAACUCCUACUUUCCAGUAUUACAUUUGCCUACACCCAAGUCCUAUCCUCAGGUGCUGUUUAAAAGAGUACCCAAGCUCAAAUCAUGGAUAGGCUUUCUACUGACCUUUGAGGGUCUCUGGUUUUCCCACCCCCAUACUUCACCUUCAAUGAUCCUGGAAUUCAUUCAGGGAGCCACAAAGAUCCUUAAAACUCCAAGCUUCUAGGCAAAUUUACAAGUUAGUUUAAAAACCUAUACCUUUUUCAAGUGAAUAAUUAAUGUUAUAUUUGGAUUCCAGUCAUUUAAAAACUGUGAUCAUUUUACAUGACAUAUUUUAUUGAUUUAUUAUUAUUUCUCAAUAAACAUUGUCACCGUGAUGUGUAUGUUUUGGAAGGAACUCGAAGCCUGAAGAAACAUUAUUUCCAACUACAAUAUUUUAACUGAGCUCACCUCUUUUGAAAUUGCCUGAUGAUAAAACUGAUACUGUUAAGAAAUAUUAGUCAUCCCUGGCAUUAGGGAGAACAUUAUCCUCAGAAGUAUUCAGCACCGGGAUCUUCAUGAGUCCAACAAAGGGCAUGUCUAUGACAACUGUUUGAUUAUUUACCUUCCUCCCAUCUUCAAAUUUCAGCCCACAUGCAGGAGUUAGGUAGUGAGUCACAAGGCAGCAUGGAUUCUGAGAUGUGGCAGCUGAUCUGGUGGCAGACACCAUGCAAGAGUCUUAUACUACCUAACAGGCUCCGGUCCCCUCCAAGCUUCUUUGUGACACAGUUUUUCAAUACUACUAUUGCCC
ensembl:lncRNA